GUCAAUGUGGCAUACUGGUUUGGGUGUCAGAUUAGGACUCUGGAGAUCAGGGUUCAAAUUCCUGCUUGGCCA